GAUGAACGCUGGCGGCGUGCCUAAUACAUGCAAGUCGAGCGAACAGAUGAGGAACUUGCUCCUCUGACGUUAGCGGCGGACGGGUGAGUAACACGUGGAUAACCUACCUAUAAGACUGGGAUAACUUCGGGAAACCGGAGCUAAUACCGGAUAAUAUCUUGAACCACAUGGUUCAAUAGUGAAAGACGGUUUUGCAGCAACUUAUAAAUGGAUCCGCGCCGCAUUAGCUAGUUGGUAAGGUAACGGCUAACCAAGGCAACGAUGCGUAGCCGACCUGAGAGGUGGUCCGGCCACACGGGAACUGAGACACGGUCCAGACUCCUACGGGAGGAAGAGUUAGGGAAUCUUCCGCAAGGGGCGAAGGCUGGACGGAGCAACGCCGCGGGAGGGAGGAAGGUCUUCGGAUCGUAAAACUUUGUUAUUAGGGAAGAACAAAGGGGUAAGUAACUAUGCACGUCUUGACGGUACCUAAUCAGAAAGCCACGGCUAACUACGUG
rnacentral:rRNA from 1 species